UUAAAGGCAUUUUGUGAUUUUUUUUCAAACAAAUGUGAGUGAAUUUAUGGGCCAUAAUUGCUUAGGGAUAAAGAAAUUUCAUCAAAAGGAACAGGACACACCUGGAAUAGCUCCUAGAAACCUCUGAUCACAAAUGGAAUGGAUCAUAAUUGAUUUGGAAUGAAAUUAGAAAAUUCUAAAAAAUUGACCUUUAGCGACGAAAAAUCUGAUGAACACCGUCGCUGAAAACCCUUUAGCAACGAAAAAUCUGAUGAACACCGUCGCUAAAAACCCUUUU
rnacentral:lncRNA from 1 species